rnacentral:lncRNA from 1 species
UUUAAUUCAAAAUUUAUAGUAAAGUAAAUUUGGAAGUGUUACCAAAAAUAAUAUGAUACAAAAUUAAAUAAAAAUAAUAUUUAAUAUUACACUCAAAAAAUAAUUCUACAAAAUAAUACGUUAAAAUAUCAGGAAAACAUAUUUUUUAAUGAAAAUGUAAUUGGCAAAAGUAUUUCGAAAAUAACUAUUUAUUUAAACAAAAUGACAAAAAAUACAUAAAAUGAAAAUAAAAUCAAUUUUUUAGAGAAACAAAUUCUAAUAAAAUUACAUGACAUCAUAGAUGACAUCAUCCACCUUCGCUCACACUAAUCAGUGAUGUUUUAGGGCCAUGGGAUUGACUCCUAGGUGUUAUGCCAGUGAUGGUACACCAUCUGCGUCGUCAUUGAAGGUCCCAUAUUCCGUGACAGUCUUUCGCGCGCCGCGUCAACAGGAGGAAUCUGUGACGGUGAUUCCGUGAUAAUGCUCGUGACGCUUAAAAAAUGACACAACAAGGUUUUCCAUGAUGUUUCUUGGAUAUUGCAUGAUGAUAGUAGCUCGUCAUAAUAUACCAGAUCCUUUGUAGUGUGUUGCCCCGCCAACUCAGACUAAGGUCCCGUUCGUUUUCCCUCCACUCCCGGAGCUGUGGAGCUGGAUGUGAACCACUCCAUUGAAAUGAGUGAUACCCUGCCCAGCUCCAGGAGCGGAGUCGAGGGAGCCGAGAGAAACCGAACGGUUCCUAAACAUCCACAAAUAGGUAGGAGUAGGAGUUCCACAUCGACUACUAGGCAGUUGGCUGGAACAAGAGACUAAGUUGCUCAUAUUGAUGGUAUAGUAGAUGGGAUAGGGUCUGCUAGCAGUGAAAAACUACAUAACUAUAAGGAGGGGGGUUGUGACAGCCCGAUGCCGACGUUCCAGAAGAUUCCCCUCUCUUUCCGUUUUCGUCGUGUGGCUUAUUUUAUUUGUCGUGUCUUCAUCACAUCAUUCGCAUCAUCUGCA